rnacentral:rRNA from 1 species
CCCGCACAAGCAGCGGAGCGUGUGGUUUAAUUCGAUGCUACACGAAGAACCUUACCAAGGCUGACAUGCCACAGUAGGAACUCGAAAGAGGGACCACCUGUAUCCAGUCAGGAUGUGGCACAGGUGCUGCAUGGCUGUCGUCAGCUCGUGCCGUGAGGUGUAGGUUAAGUCCUGCAACGAGCGCAACCCUUGUCGCUAGUUAAUUUCUCUAGCGAGACUGCCCGUAAAACGAGGAGGAAGGUGAGGAUGACGUCAAGUCAGCACGGCCCUUACGCCUUGGGCUACACACACGCUACAAUGGAUGAUACAACGGGUUGCUAAGGAGCGAUCCGGCGCCAAUCCCCAAAAUCAUCCUCAGUUCAGAUUGUAGGCUGAAACUGCCUGCAUGAAGGCGGAGUUGCUAGUAACCGCAGGUCAGCAUACUGCGGUGAAUACGUUCUCGGGCCUU